rnacentral:rRNA from 1 species
AUCGUUUAUUUGAUAGUACCUUACUACUUGGAUAACCGUGGUAAUUCUAGAGCUAAUACAUGCUAAAAACCCCAACUUCGGGAGGGGUGUAUUUAUUAGAUAAAAAACCAACGCCCUUCGGGGCUCCUUGGUGAAUCAUAAUAACUUAACGGAUCGCAUGGCCUUGCGCCGGCGACGGUUCAUUCAAAUUUCUGCCCUAUCAACUUUCGAUUGUAGGGUAUUGGCCUACAAUGGUAUCAACGGGUAACGGGGAAUUAGGGUUCGAUUCCGGAGAGGGAGCCUGAGAAACGGCUACCACAUCCAAGGAAGGCAGCAGGCGCGCAAAUUACCCAAUCCCGACACGGGGAGGUAGUGACAAUAAAUACUGAUACAGGGCUCUUUUGGGUCUUGUAAUUGGAAUGAGUACAAUUUAAAUCCCUUAACGAGGAACAAUUGGAGGGCAAGUCUGGUGCCAGCAGCCGCGGUAAUUCCAGCUCCAAUAGCGUAUAUUAAAGUUGUUGCAGUUAAAAAGCUCGUAGUUGAACCUUGGGCCUGGCUGGCCGGUCCGCCUCACCGCGUGCACUGGUCCGGCCGGGCCUUUCCUUCUGGAGAGCCGCAUGCCCUUCACUGGGUGUGUCGGGGAACCAGGACUUUUACUUUGAAAAAAUUAGAGUGUUCAAAGCAGGCCUUUGCUCGAAUACAUUAGCAUGGAAUAAUAGAAUAGGACGUGCGGUUCUAUUUUGUUGGUUUCUAGGACCGCCGUAAUGAUUAAUAGGGAUAGUCGGGGGCAUCAGUAUUCAAUUGUCAGAGGUGAAAUUCUUGGAUUUAUUGAAGACUAACUACUGCGAAAGCAUUUGCCAAGGAUGUUUUCAUUAAUCAGUGAACGAAAGUUAGGGGAUC